rnacentral:rRNA from 1 species
UACGGGGGGAGCAAGCGUUGUCCGGAAUCGUUGGGCGUAAAGCGCGCGUAGGCGGCCAGAUAAGUCCGGUGUGAAAGUCACAGGCUCAACCUGUGAAUGCCGCUGGAAACUGUCUGGCUAGAGUCCGGAAGGGGCGAGUGGAAUUCCUGGUGUAGCGGUGAAAUGCGCAGAUAUCAGGAGGAACACCAAUGGCGAAGGCAGCUCGCUGGAACGGUACUGACGCUGAGGCGCGAAAGCGUGGGGAGCGAACAGG